GAGGUUUUGCAGAUUUUCAAAUCAAAACUCAGAGAUUCCUUGUUUGAUUCUCUCAAAUCUCUCUUUUGUGGUAUUUCUGGAUCCUUACCAAGGCAGUGAUGGUAUAUGCCUUCUCUCAAUAUAUAUGGUAUUUGUGGUAUAAAGCAUAGUGACAUUGCCUUCUCUCUCACCCUACUCUAAUAAGGUUUUAAUAUGUGGAGCUCAUAGGUGGGAGAUAAAAUAUACAUACUUACAAGACAUUUAUUGCAUAGUCAAACCAUGGAUCCAAAGAAACAAACCAAUAAGUCAAAUCAAGAUGUGCAUGUGUGGCGAAUGAAUGGUGUAUGGUGAUAACAAUGGUGAAAGUCUAAUUCUACUUUUGCUCUUUGAGGGGAUACAUACCUUCCUUGCUUUUUGAAACUUUAUGAGGAGAAUGAGAUGCUCUAUGUUUUCUUUCUCUUUCCUCUCAGGUGGGUAUCUUGUACCCCUAAUUCUACUGUCGGACACUUGUCCAUUUUUACCUCUCGUCUCACUUUUUUUUCUUUUCUUUUCGAGGUUCCGGGCACUUGCCCCUUUUUAUUUCCUCAUAUCUCUCUUGUUUUUAGAGCACUCAUCUCUUGAGAUAAUAUAGCAAGUGGUAGUAACAAGAUAACUUGAGCAUUUAUUUCAUAGGGAAAACAGAAAUAUUUUUUUAGCCAUUCUCUCCUGUAUUAGAAGUAUAAUAUUUUUGGGUGGUUCUCGGGAUGGAAAUGGAUGGACAUAUGUGGAUGGUACUUCCGGAAUAGAAGUAGGAUGUGUGAGUGAACGUGCAAGUGAAUCUUGAUUUAACCACAUGACAAGCUCCUAAGGGUCUACACAGCUUGACCACACUCAAUGCUCAUAAGUAGUAAUGUAAAUGUGUGGCUCAAAGUCUAGCAAGCAUGUAUAUAUGGCUGUGGUAGGAAUUUAAACUCUCAUCAUACAGGAACUCAUCAAGUAAUAUUUUAAAGAUUUUUUAAAGAUAAAAUUCUCCAGAAUUCUAGCAUCUCUAGGAACAGAUAAACAGC
rnacentral:lncRNA from 1 species